rnacentral:rRNA from 1 species
UUUAUGGAGAGUUUGAUCCUGGCUCAGGAUGAACGCUGGCGGCGUGCCUAAUACAUGCAAGUCGAGCGAACGGACGAGAAGCUUGCUUCUCUGAUGUUAGCGGCGGACGGGUGAGUAACACGUGGAUAACCUACCUAUAAGACUGGGAUAACUUCGGGAAACCGGAGCUAAUACCGGAUAAUAUUUUGAACCGCAUGGUUCAAAAGUGAAAGACGGUCUUGCUGUCACUUAUAGAUGGAUCCGCGCUGCAUUAGCUAGUUGGUAAGGUAACGGCUUACCAAGGCAACGAUGCAUAGCCGACCUGAGAGGGUGAUCGGCCACACUGGAACUGAGACACGGUCCAGACUCCUACGGGAGGCAGCAGUAGGGAAUCUUCCGCAAUGGGCGAAAGCCUGACGGAGCAACGCCGCGUGGGUGAUGAAGGUCUUCGGAUCGUAAAACUCUGUUAUUAGGGAAGAACAUAUGUGUAAGUAACUGUGCACAUCUUGACGGUACCUAAUCAGAAAGCCACGGCUAACUACGUGCCAGCAGCCGCGGUAAUACGUAGGUGGCAAGCGUUAUCCGGAAUUAUUGGGCGUAAAGCGCGCGUAGGCGGUUUUUUAAGUCUGAUGUGAAAGCCCACGGCUCAACCGUGGAGGGUCAUUGGAAACUGGAAAACUUGAGUGCAGAAGAGGAAAGUGGAAUUCCAUGUGUAGCGGUGAAAUGCGCAGAGAUAUGGAGGAACACCAGUGGCGAAGGCGACUUUCUGGUCUGUAACUGACGCUGAUGUGCGAAAGCGUGGGGAUCAAACAGGAUUAGAUACCCUGGUAGUCCACGCCGUAAACGAUGAGUGCUAAGUGUUAGGGGGUUUCCGCCCCUUAGUGCUGCAGCUAACGCAUUAAGCACUCCGCCUGGGGAGUACGACCGCAAGGUUGAAACUCAAAGGAAUUGACGGGGACCCGCACAAGCGGUGG